UUCUUCUUCUUCUUCUUCAACCGUAGCUAUCCCAUUCUCAAUCCACUGUUGAUCAACGGCUUUGUCUUUUGCGAUCAAAUGAACAUUUCUUACCACAAUCGAAGACUUGUGCUCAAUUUCUUGUGCUUCUUCAACUUCCGUGCCCACAUUUUUUUCUUCUGUAACCACUGUUUUCACCUCUGAUAAUUCUUGUGAUUUCCUGGGGCUUCCUCCAAUCUUUUCUCUGCUCUUACCAGUAAUUUGAUUAGACUCUUGAGGUUGAGAAUUGCUGAUGAGACCUGAAUUCUUGACGAUUAUAACCAGAAUCCCAUUGCAAAGAAGGAACAUGUAGUUCUUGCCCAUCUUGCAGUUAAGGAACUGCAUUAACUGGAACAUUAAAGGAAAUAGUGAAGAACUAAGAAGUAUCACAAAGAACAAAAUCACAAGCUGCAGGGAGUGAGAAUUGCUGAAUUUGCUCAAAUUGGUUUGGUAGUUUUGAUGCUUGAGCUUGAUUGAUUCCAUCUCUUCUCAAUUGGAAGGGAGCUUCUGGGGGAGGAUAAGAACUAAUGAGCUUUUG
rnacentral:misc_RNA from 1 species